ACUGCACUUUUCUUCUCUACACACGUGUUUUUGUUUUAUUCUUAAAACUUGCUUUGGCAGUGGCUGCUUAAUUGCUCUGCUGCCAGAGGAUAAACUCAACCUAAAUUUUUUAUUUUAAACUAGUCAACUGAUUAUAUUUAUUAAUAGUCAAAACUUUCAACAACGGAUCUCUUGGUUCUCGCAUCGAUGAAGAACGCAGCGAAAUGCGAUAAGUAAUAUGAAUUGCAGAUAUUCGUGAAUCAUCGAAUCUUUGAACGCACAUUGCGCCCUCUGGUAUUCCGGAGGGCAUGCCUGUUUGAGCGUCAUUUCUCCCUCAAACCCCCGGGUUUGGUGAUGAGCAAUACGCCAGGUUUGCUUGAAAGUUAGGAGGAGUAUUUAUAACAAUGUAUUAGGUCUAACCACUCCAUUGUGCUUAAUAAAAAGCUCCAAUCUAUAUUUCAAACUUCGACCUCAAAUCAGGUAGGAUUACCCGCUGAACUUAAGCAUAUCAAA
rnacentral:rRNA from 1 species